AUGUAAUUUUCGUUGGUAACAACAUCGGGCAGUUUUACUAUUUGUCUCGUGGUUGGAUUACAAACCGCGAUCGAUGAACCACGUGUGCAACAAACGAAUCCGUUGACAGGGGGAGAUCUGAUGUAGUUGACGAAAUUCGAGAUCGUCAUGUCGUGUCUGGCUAUGCCCGGAGAGGAUUUUCCGUUGUCGUGAUCAGGAGCUGAGUAGAUGA